rfam:Schistosoma margrebowiei strain Zambia genome assembly, scaffold: SMRZ_contig0004593
ACCAGCUGACGAGUCCCAAACAGGACGAAACGCGCGUCCUGGAU